rnacentral:lncRNA from 1 species
UCCGAUCCGAAAACAUAAUCAAAUAUAUCAACAAAAUAGAUAAAGUAUAUAUCAUAUAUAAACUAUUACCAAACUGUGUGUACGAUAGUAUAGAUCAGCCACUCUCAGUUUCUCUUUUUUGUUCUGUCUUUCGGCCUCCCUCUAUCAGUCAUGCUAGUAAAUAAUAUAGGAACAAAUUAGGUUAAUGAUAAUGGGCCUAAGUUUUUUUUGAAACCCAAUAUUAAAUUAAAAACUGAAUAAAGUUAAAUAAUUAAAAUAGUUAAAAUUAAAAUAAAAACUAAUUAACCUAUUUAUUUAUUCUAGACCCAAUAUUAAAUUAAAACUGAAUAAAGUUAAAUAAUUAAAAUAGUUAAAAUUAAAAUAAAAAC